ensembl:snRNA U7 U7 small nuclear RNA
UACUGUAACAGCUCUUUCAGAAUUUGUCUAGCAGGCUUUCGGGUUUUUCCCAGAAAGCACCCCC